GUUUUGUAAUAGAAUUCAAUAGGAAAAAGGAAUUGUUUUAAGCUGGCUCUGCUGAACACACACAUCUCUGUGUUGCAUAAAGUGCUAGAACUAGAAGACU